GACGAACACUGGCGGCGCGCUUAACACAUGCAAGUCGAACGGUAAGGCCCUUCGGGGUACACGAGUGGCGAACGGGUGAGUAACACGUGGGUGAUCUGCCCUGCACUUCGGGAUAAGCCUGGGAAACUGGGUCUAAUACCGGAUAGGACCCUGGGAUGCAUGUCCUGGGGUGGAAAGCUUUUGCGGUGUGGGAGGGGCCCGCGGCCGAUCAGCUUGUUGGUGGGGUGAUGGCCUACCAAGGCGACGACGGAUAGCCGGGCUGAGAGGGUGACCGGCCACACGAGGACUGAGAUACGGCCCAGACUCCUACGGGGGGCAGCAGUGGGGAAUAUUGCACAAUGGGCGCAAGCCUGAUGCAGCGACGCCGCGUGAGGGAUGACGGCCUUCGGGUUGUAAACCUCUUUCAGCACCGACGAAGCGCAAGUGACGGUAGGUGCAGAAGAAGGACCGGCCAACUACGUGCCAGCCGCCGCCGUAA
rnacentral:rRNA from 1 species